GGGGGCGAACCGGUUUCGACGGGGGCAUGGAAACUUAAGUCGCGUGUCGAGGGGCUGCAACCUCGUUAAAAUGCAGAAAAAACAUAAACGCCAACUCAGAAUACGAGUACGCACUAGCUGCCUAGAGCAGCACAUCCAUUCAGGCCAAGCCUGCAGGCUUGGAGUGGAUGACAUUUUAGCAGGCUGGUCCCGGGCCGCCGCCCGUGUUGCCCGGGACGAGACCCCCACGGGAUAGCCCCUUUACCGUCUCGCCGGAGAAGAUGGAAAGGGGCAAAAUAAUAGAUCUCAGGCUAUACACGUAGAAGCUUAAGCGGAAUGUUUUCGGACGCGGGUUCGAUUCCCGCCGCCUCCACCA
rnacentral:tmRNA from 1 species